AAAUUGAAGAGUUUGAUCAUGGCUCAGAUUGAACGCUGGCGGCAGGCCUAACACAUGCAAGUCGAGCGGAAACGAGUUAUCAGAACCUUCGGGGGACGAUAACGGCGUCGAGCGGCGGACGGGUGAGUAAUGCCUAGGAAAUUGCCCUGAUGUGGGGGAUAACCAUUGGAAACGAUGGCUAAUACCGCAUGAUGCCUACGGGCCAAAGAGGGGGACCCU
rnacentral:rRNA from 1 species